GCAAGUCGAACGGUAACAUUUCUUGCUUGCAAGAAGAUGACGAGUGGCGGACGGGUGAGUAAUACUUAGGAACAUGCCUUUGGGUGGGGGAUAACUAUUGGAAACGAUAGCUAAUACCGCAUGAUGUCUUCGGACCAAAGUGGGGACUUGUUCUUCACGCCCAGAGAGUGGCCUAAGCGAGAUUAGCUUGUUGGUGAGGUAAAGGCUCACCAAGGCGACGAUCUCUAGCUGUUCUGAGAGGAAGAUC
rnacentral:rRNA from 1 species